rnacentral:rRNA from 1 species
GUGAGGAAUAUUGGUCAAUGGGCGGGAGCCUGAACCAGCCAAGUCGCGUGAAGGAAGAAGGAUCUAUGGUUCGUAAACUUCUUUUGCAGGGGAAUAAAGUGCAGGACGUGUCCUGUUUUGUAUGUACCCUGAGAAUAAGGAUCGGCUAACUCCGUGCCAGCAGCCGCGGUAAUACGGAGGAUCCGAGCGUUAUCCGGAUUUAUUGGGUUUAAAGGGUGCGUAGGUGGUUUGAUAAGUCAGCGGUGAAAGUUUGCAGCUUAACUGUAAAAAUGCCGUUGAAACUGUCGGACUUGAGUGUAAAGGAGGUAGGCGGAAUGCGUGGUGUAGCGGUGAAAUGCAUAGAUAUCACGCAGAACUCCGAUUGCGAAGGCAGCUUACUAAGCUACAACUGACACUGAAGCACGAAAGCGUGGGGAUCAAACAGGAUUAGAAACCCUGGUAGUCC